GACGAACCGUGCGAACGUUGUUCGGAUUCACUGGGCUUAAAGGGCGCGUAGGCGGGCGGUCAAGUCGGGGGUGAAAUCUUUCCGCUUAACGGGAAGCGUGCCUCCGAUACUGAUCGCCUCGAGGGAGGUAGGGGCAUGUGGAACUUCCGGUGGAGCGGUGAAAUGCGCAGAUAUCAGGAGGAACACCGGUGGCGAAGGCGGGUCUCUGGGCCAUUACUGACGCUGAGGAGCGAAAGCGUGGGGAGCGAACAGG
rnacentral:rRNA from 1 species